rnacentral:rRNA from 1 species
AUUGAACGCUGGCGGCAGGCCUAACACAUGCAAGUCGAACGAGUGGCGGACGGGUGAGUAAUGUCUGGGAAACUGCCUGAUGGAGGGGGAUAACUACUGGAAACGGUAGCUAAUACCGCAUACCAUCAGAUGUGCCCAGAUGGGAUUAGCUUGUUGGUGGGGUAACGGCUCACCAAGGCGACGAUCCCUAGCUGGUCUGAGAGGAUGACCAGCCACACGGGAACUGAGACACGGUCCAGAGUCCUACGGGAGGCAGCAGUAGGGAAUAUUGCACAAUGGACGCAAGCCUGAUACAGACAUGCCGCGUGGAUGAAGAAGGCCUUCGGGUUGUAAAGUACUGUCAGCAGGGAGGCGGUACCCGAAGAAGAAGCAACGGCUAACUCCGUGCCAGCAGCCGCGGUAAUAC